AGAGUUUGAUCCUGGCUCAGGACGAACGCUGGCGGCGUGCCUAAUACAUGCAAGUCGAGCGGGAUCCUUCGGGGUUCAGCGGCGGACGGGUGAGUAACACGUAGGCAACCUGCCUGUAAGACUGGGAUAACUGCCGGAAACGGCAGCUAAGACCGGAUAAUUUACCCUGGGGCAUCCCGGAGUAUGGAAAUGCGGGGCAA
rnacentral:rRNA from 1 species